UUUAACAAUCUGCCACACCCAACCCAAGCCCAACCCACGCCCCGCCAUACCCCAGGGACACGUAACCAGGACGUGUCAACAAAUGCCCCAACCCAAGCCCCACCAUACCCCAUGGUCUUAUAUGUUCUUUACUUUGACCCGAAUCAACGGUGACUUCAGUAAAAAGCAUAAAAGAUAGACCGAUUUCAGGGGCGUUGACCGAAUAUGAGUUGAAACAGUUUUCGGGUUUGUCUUGUACACCACCAAGGAAGUCACCUGGCAAAAGCCCUGAUGAUAUGCCAAUAAAUGGUAGUGUUGGAAGCUACUGGAGCCACACGAGCUCAGCACAAUUUUCGAGCCCAUGUUCAUCGUAUAAAGGCAUACCGAAUGCCACCAGCAAGUACAGAGAGGAGGCAAGACGGGCUCGUCAGGUAACGGGUUAGAAUUGGCUUGGAUUGAAAUUAGUCAUUUUUGUUGAGUUCGAAACGGGUUGGUUCGGGCUGGGUUGCUCUGUAGCCUGCUUGUUUGUCCUUUUCUACCAUUUGUCGGAUAUUUACCCAUGGAGUAUACCCGUUAAUUUAUUAAAAAGUCACCCGUUAGUAAUUAGAUGUUCAGAUACAUCUCUUACUAUUUUAUUUUUUUAUAUUAUUAUUAUUAUUACUAAAGGAAAUUAGAAGUAUAAGAAGUAUGGAUUUUGGAGGUUAUUCAUCGGAUUCGGGUUCGUUUGCCAUCCGUAGACUGUUAUUUGAUCUUUUUAUGCAUCUUGUAUGAAUCUAGGGGAAAGCCAACCACUAAAAGGGGCUAUUAUGCGGUUACGGGUGGCAUUAUAUAUGGCACAAGCAUUAGGGCGAUCACUGUACCAUGAUCUGAACGCGUAUUUGAUCAGGAAUAUAAUCCCUUUGCAAAUGAAUUGCGGAGCCCACGAGCGCCCGGUCAAUGUCGUUUGUAAAUGAAUUUACAUUUUUCCCGCUUGCAAAUGAAUCGUUGACUCAUGAUUACUAAUUUAAUCCUCAUUGCGGAGCCCACGAGCGCCCGGUCAAUGUCGUUUGUCGGGACCCACGAGUAUUUAGCUCCGGAGAUCAUCAAAGGCGAAGGUCAUGGCAGCGCGGUUGAGUGGACGUUCGGGAUAUUUCUUUACGAGCUUUUGUUCGGGAAAACUCCGUUCAAGGGGAACGGUAACCGGGCCACUUUGUUUAACGUUGUCGGGCAACCGUUGAGGUUUCCCAUUCGCCUUGGGUUAGUUUUGCGGUGAGGGAUUUGAUCAGGGGGUUACUUGUGAAAGAGCCGCAGCAUCGGCUGGCGUAUAAACGAGGGGCAACCGAGAUCAAACAGCACCCUUUUUUUCAGAGCGUGAUCCGCUGCGCUACUCUGCUGGAUGUACCGAAACCGGCACCGGAAAUGGUGGGAGUAGAUGUGAAACCUUCCGGUAACUACUUAGAGAUUGAUUUCUUUUAGUGUUGUCAAUUUCAAAGGAACUUGAACCUAUGUUUUUCUUUUUUCUUAUGUUUAU